ACAGCAAGAAAAAAGAUGCUGGUUUUGUGUAUGUGAUGUGGGUCCUUUAAGAUUGCCUCCGCUCCUUAGCUGGAAGGGUGGGAUAUGCUGCAAAUAGGUGGCACUUAUAGGUUUUAAAGUUAAAUAAAAUUACUGUACGACUUCCAUUUCAGAGAAGAUUUCAGCGGGUAAUUAUAGCAGAGUUAAUGCACUAAACUUUGUUUUUUAAAAAUACACCCCACUGCAGAACAUUUAAAAAAAAAUAGGUGGGCGUAUUGCUUAACAAGGAAAUAAAGCAUAAUUUUGGAGGAGGAGGUGGAGAGUAAAAUUGUAACACCCAUGGCAACGAGAUGCAUAAAAAUGAAUGAGUGUUUCCUUAGUAUUAUCGCCACCUCCAGCUCAAUUUCCUUUUUCUCUGGCUGUAUUCGAGGCUUGCAGACUGAAGCCAUUUAACAAACGCGUAAGUCUCCGGGAAGCCAACGAGUUUAUAAUCGCUGCCCACUUAUCAUUUGAUGUCAUACUGACAUACGUGUCCUAAUGAUAACUGAGAUGUUAAUUCAGGAGGCUGACCUCUAGCCUUCGACCAGUUGUUUCUUCCGAUUGUCUGUAAAGCCAGAGUCCUGGUUAACCCUUCAGGUGGCCUCUAGGCGGAGCUGUUUCGUCAAAUUCAUAUCUGGGUUUUUUAAGAAUUAAAAAGAAUUAAUUUUUACAGAGACGUGGUUCGGUUAUACGUUGCUCUAUCAUUUCAUUCCCGUGAGUCGCAUGAACUGGAUAUAAGAAUUUCAACUAUUUUAAGGGGGCGGAAAAGGAAAGGGAAUGUUCUUUACGCAUGAAAAAGUAGUACUGUACUGUACUGGUAGUAAAACAGGGAUUGCCCCAUCUUUUUAUUACUGUAUAAGGUAUUUGAAACGGUGCUACGAAUAUUGUUUUAAAAACCAGAGGAGGGUGAGUGGAUGGAUCAAACCACUGACGUGUGGGGUGUGUGUGUGGAUGCUGGGUUUUAUUUCAAGUGCCUAGGAUCGGGGUGUGAAAGCGCAAUCUUAUACCUGUCGACUCAGAAAUAAGACUCACGGAGGUAAAAAAUAAUAAUACAGUAUUAAGUACGUAUGAGAUUGCAACCUAGUCAUUUUUAUCUAAGCUCCCUGUUUUUAUACUUAGAGCUUUUUCUUGUGCUUCUUUCGAGCUGAAUUGGGAGAGGGUCUGUUGUUUUCACUUACAAAAUUACUGUUAACCCCCCCUAGAUCGUGCAGGAGAACAAAACGCGAUUCAAAAUUAAACCCGAGUGAGAAAGAGGCAGGAAAGAGGAACAUAUUUUGGGAGAGUGACCUGGGACAAUAGAAAUCUCUUUCAAAAUUGUUCAUCAGAAUCAACUGCAAGGCUAAUUCAGCUCCCUAAUAAAAAACGAAGUGGAAAAAUACUGAAUUGCUCUUUUCAAAAGCAGCCUCUGAGAAGUCAGCGUAUUCACAGUACAAUAACUGUUUUUCUGGUUCAGACCUAAUUUGGCACACUGUCGCCAGCAGCGACCAGCCACAAGAUAUGGCAACGCAGACAUUAAAUUUAAACUAAGCAAGUCUGUAGUUCGGUUCCAUUUAUUAACGGGAAUGUAUACUCUUCCUUCGCCCCUUUGUUACUCCAGAGCCGCCACCCCCGCUCCACCGCCGAAACCAAGCUGACUUCUGCGCAUAGGAAUGCACCGGCAGGCUCAAAUUCUAUGCCCGAUUACAUGGAAGAAAGACCCAUUCCAAGGCAGCCUGACUUCUGAGUAAAAAUGCGCAGGACUGUGAGGCUGCAAUUCUAUGAAAAGAAAGGAUGGCUGAGUCACAAAUAGCUUCGAGGAGCCUUAACGGAAGAACUUAUUUCCAGUCUGUUUAGGUCUCAAGAGAACUUAUUUUCCGAGGUUUUUUUUUUGUUUUGUUUUUCGCCAACGGAGCAGAACCGCAGCGCAUUCUAAGGUUAUUUCAGGUUUGUUAAUGUUCGCAAUAAUACCGGUGAGUAAAGAUCUUCGUUUGGAGAGCCUAAUGCCCACAAGGGAAGACAGAUUAUAAGAAACGAACAAGUUUAAUUCUUGCAGAUUCGAGGUCGGGGAACACAUUACGAUUCCUCUAAGCUGACACACAAACCUGGGUGAUGUACAUUAGUAAUGAACAGCAAACUUACACAUUUCUAUUCAUGGGGAGUAAGUUGAGGGGGGGUAUUCUUGGAUUCAGUCAAGAUCAAAGGUUGUUGGCGUCAUUAACGACAGCCUCUAGCGCAGGAGGUAUUGUAAAACGCGGGUCAUUUCAGUCACUUGAAAGGCUUUUCAUUUGAAACUUGACUUUUAAACAAUGCAAGAGCACGAUCCGGCCAAAAAGUUAAGCAUUAAAAGAGAGAGAGAAAGAGAUUUCUAGAGGAGAAUUAAGCCUGGAGCUUAAAUCGCCCUCGAGGUAAUUCCCUGAACUCACAGGUGUCUAACUUCGGCAGGCGAGUCCUCCAGGUUUUCAGCUUCUGAAAUGCCACUUUAUAUUCUCAGAUGUGGUGGCUGUUGCUUUUCAAUCGCUUACAAUCUAUCUUGCUCUUUCCCCACCACUUCUCUUUAUUUCUUUGGUCAUGUUUACGGGAGAAAAAGCGGGUGGGGAAAGCAGACCCGCUGGAAGAAAGGGCCUAAGCGAAGGAGCCGAAAGAGAAAUCUAAGCCGAAGCAGACGGACCGUAGGAAAAUUCCAUUUAAUGGCGCCCAGGAGCGGGAGAAACGUCUCCCUCUCAAUCGCGCGUGCACCAAUUAGGAAUUCUCUUUGAUGUUGAACUGCUCCAUUCCGACGUCGGCGUACACUUGGGCCUUGGGCGAUCGCUGCGCCCCUCCACGGGAAGGUCGUCCUUCACUUGAGCUUGGGUAGGAUCAAUGCCUUUCCCUUGGUCGCUUGGUUUUCCAUUUGACCUCAGCCACGGGCAGGAGGAGAAGGUGAAGGACUCCCGCGGUGUAGAGUCCCGUUGGCGGCGGCGGCGGCGGAAGUUAAUUCUUCGCAAGGUGACGGCGGAGGAAAGAUGCCCAAAGACGGCUGUGGAAGGGAAUUGGCCGCGAAGGCUGGCUGCGGAGGACCGCCUUGGCGGACGGAGAAAGCCGGUUCUUUCAUCCCCAGCCCGGGGAGAGGAGGAACUUCUGGCUGGAGAGGGGUCGGAGGAAAUUUCUCGGCCUCAAAUUCCAAGCAAGAGGAUUCCUGGUCUUUUCUCCUCGAAGCGUACAAGCAAGACGAGCUGAUCUUCGGAGGGAGGAACUCAUGGUGGGGAUGGUGACCUCUCCAACCUGGAUGGUGGGAAGGAGGUGGAAGGAACCGCAGUCCGGACUGGUGGCUGUUCAUGCCUCUUCCCCCAUAGAACCACUGUCCACUGCUCCCUCCUCGCCUCAAGCCAACCCAAAUUGCAGUGUGAGGCUUUGGCAAGGAGAGUGUAUAUAUGGGGUUCUGAAACCCACCUAUUAUCCUAUAGGGUGUGCGGGUUUACAGGAAAGUUGCGAAGAUAACACCCUCCAGGCAGGAGCUUGGCGAAAAAAAUGAUGGAAUAUACCGAGCCACUGUGUGUGCGUGUGCGAGAGAGAGAGAAUGUUUAAGGGAAAAGGUCUCGAGCAAUGGACUUAUCUGUUAGAAAAUGCGUCCGCCAAGCCACUUCCGGCGGGCUAGCCAAUCCCAGAUGGACAUGGCUUCUACGGACAUCCCCUGGUGUCAAUUUUAAUGGCAAACUUUACUGGUUUGCGGAGGGACUCAUCUUUUUUUUUUUAAAGGAACGAAAGAAAAUCUUCGGCGCAGACAUCUGUAGCUACAAAUCCAUUCACUUCACGCCACUCCCUCCUCCCCUCACCCACUCCUCCGAAAUAAAAUCCGUCUGCGACAAAGGGGAAGAUGAGAAUUGGAAAGCCCUUUGAACCCUGAAAAAGCAAACGAUAAUAAUAAUGCUAAUGAUUUGUGCGCGUCUGCAGAUUUACAGUCUUCUUGCUUGUGCCUCUUUGCAGUGUCUUACUCACUGCUGCGCCUCGCUACGGAGAAAAGGCCGGAUUUAUUUUUAUUUUUUUACAAUAUUCGGGAGGAGAGCCUAGCUGGAAUCGCUGGGCCCGCUCUGCCUCCAUACUUGAAAAACUUAGGGCACGUCAAUCUCAUGCACAAACACACCAAAUUUCUGCUUUUAACUAACGAUAAACCUGGGCACCCCCGGCUAAAAUAUUGGCUUACAAUAAACUGUGUUCCCUGGAAAAUUUGAAGGCAAAUAAGCCACUUUCUUAUAAUGUACUACGCCAUCAUAUGGCUAUGUAUUCAUAUAUAAACAAGAGAAUAUAUACGAAUGCAGUAGGUCAUCAGGCCUGAAACACUAUGGAUGUGAGUGUGCAUGUUUGCAGCCAGUUAGAUCUAAAUUCAUCGCAUACAUAUUGCAAAAACUACAUAUUGUUGUAUGGUUUUGUGUUUUUUAAAAUAAAGGCAGUCGCCCAGUUCUAUCA